GCAGAGGAGAGACAGAAAGAGAGAGAGAGAGAUGGGGGGGGGGUUGCCGGAUUGCAGUGAUUAUUCCCACUGUAUGGCCAGCUUUAUUAUUUUUUUUUUCCUGCAGCAAUAAACCCCCUUUCUCUAGCACUGCGGGACGUUGGUGAAAAUCCAGCAAUAUGUGGAAAGUAGCACGAUCAGCUUUUCUGGAUGACGAAAUGUCUCAAACCACAGGUACAGUUCGAAAAGAAGAUGAUGCCGGCAGCAAUGGGUUCACUGGAGCUCUAUCACCCAGAUGCGACUCCACUUUGCCAAACAGGCACAUAAGUCGAAAUCGGGACUUUUGCAAACACAUCGUUUCUGAGUUCUCUUCAAUUACGUGGUUUUGCUUAAGAUGGACACUAAAGGAAGUCAGAUUUUCCUGCCCAUGUAAAAGCAAAGUCCUGCUGUAGAAAAUUUCACAGUACGAUGUUCCUUCUGAUAUUCAAGAGGAAGCAACCAAAAUUACUUCCCCCUGCUUUGGGGAACUGUGGUGUCAGAUCAAAGAUCUGCUUGUGAAUCAAACUUAAGGAUUUGCAUCUUGGUAAGUACAUAAUUGUUUUGGACCAAUGGCAUCUGUUGGUUCAUUGCACUGGAUUCAGACCUCCAAUACCAUUUUUCGGAACAAUUAAGGUGGAACCUGAUUAUAUUCCUGUACACACAGAAAAUGUACUUUCCAAAAGAUGUCAAGUGCCACGAUCUGGCACUGAAAAAGACACCUCUGCAUCUCCACUGUAUUGNAGAGAGGCACCAUUUUCAGUGGCCAAUUGCACCACCAUAAUUCAGGACACAAAAUUAUACCCUGCAAAUAUGGNGGCUCUUCUAAUGAUGGCUUUCAAAAAUGGGGCAGUAUAAUUGCCACAUGACACCUGCUGCCACUGCAAAUGUAGACGCAGUGGUAGCAGGUGCCUGCACAAGUGGUGGCAGGCCCCUCUGCUUGUAAAUGGAGAUGCGGCCUCAGUGUUUUUCUUCUAAUCUCACAUACAUGUAAAACUUAACAUGGAAAAGAACUUUGGACAUGGAGGCAGGGCUAAAGAAGGACAUAAGUGACUAUUCAUUUGCAUAUGCAUGGGAUUAGUUAUGGGUGUAGUCACAACUUGGUGGCAGAGCAGGUCCCAGGUUCAAUCCCU
rnacentral:lncRNA from 1 species